rnacentral:rRNA from 1 species
UCUAUAAGUCGAGCGAACAGACGAGGAGCUUGCUCCUUUGACGUUAGCGGCGGACGGGUGAGUAACACGUAGGUAACCUACCUAUAAGACUGGGAUAACUUCGGGAAACCGGAGCUAAUACCGGAUAAUAUUUCGAACCGCAUGGUUCGAUAGUGAAAGAUGGCUUUGCUAUCACUUAUAGAUGGACCUGCGCCGUAUUAGCUAGUUGGUAAGGUAACGGCUUACCAAGGCAACGAUACGUAGCCGACCUGAGAGGGUGAUCGGCCACACUGGAACUGAGACACGGUCCAGACUCCUACGGGAGGCAGCAGUAGGGAAUCUUCCGCAAUGGGCGAAAGCCUGACGGAGCAACGCCGCGUGAGUGAUGAAGGUCUUCGGAUCGUAAAACUCUGUUAUUAGGGAAGAACAAACGUGUAAGUAACUGUGCACGUCUUGACGGUACCUAAUCAGAAAGCCACGGCUAACUACGUGCCAGCAGCCGCGGUAAUACGUAGGUGGCAAGCGUUAUCCGGAAUUAUUGGGCGUAAAGCGCGCGUAGGCGGUUUUUUAAGUCUGAUGUGAAAGCCCACGGCUCAACCGUGGAGGGUCAUUGGAAACUGGAAAACUUGAGUGCAGAAGAGGAAAGUGGAAUUCCAUGUGUAGCGGUGAAAUGCGCAGAGAUAUGGAGGAACACCAGUGGCGAAGGCGACUUUCUGGUCUGUAACUGACGCUGAUGUGCGAAAGCGUGGGGAUCAAACAGGAUUAGAUACCCUGGUAGUCCACGCCGUAAACGAUGAGUGCUAAGUGUUAGGGGGUUUCCUCCCCUUAGUGCUGCAGCUAACGCAUUAAGCACUCCGUCUGCUGAGUA